GGCUACACACGUGCUACAAUGGGUAGUACAGAGAGUCGCAAAGCCGCGAGGUGGAGCUAAUCUCAGAAAACUAUUCUUAGUUCGGAUUGUACUCUGCAACUCGAGUACAUGAAGUUGGAAUCGCUAGUAAUCGCGAAUCAGCAAUGUCGCGGUGAAUACGUUCUCGGGUCUUGUACACACCGCCCGUCACACCACGAGAGUUGGUUGCACCUGAAGUAGCAGGCCUAACCGUAAGGAGGGAUGCUCCGAGGGUGUGAUUAGCGAUUGGGGUGAAGUCGUAACAAGGUAUCCGUACAGGAACGU
rnacentral:rRNA from 1 species